rnacentral:rRNA from 1 species
GGGGCGCCAAUCCCCACCCGCAGUGAAAGUGAAUGGAUUUGAUCCAAUCGGGAUUACUUGAUUGACUCUCUGCUCGUCCCUCCCACGUCCGUUGUUAACCCAAGAAUGCCGGAACGCUUCCUGGGGAUGGUGAAGUCAUACCAAGCUCUGUGCAGGAGGUGACCCCGGUUAUGGCGUGCUAUGCCUGAUCAGGAUCAAGUCAUGGGAAACCCUGACUAAUCGACCCCAAACUAUUAACUGGUUCCAUCCGAUUGUCGGAAUUGACCAUAGGGGCGAAAGACCAAUCGAACCAUCUAGUAGCUGGUUCCUUCCGAACU